GUGAGGAAUAUUGCACAAUGGGGGAAACCCUGAUGCAGCGACGCCGCGUGGGUGACGAAGGCCUUCGGGUCGUAAAGCCCUUUUCUGUGUGACGAGCAAGGACGGUAGCACAGGAAUAAGCCUCGGCUAACUACGUGCCAGCAGCCGCGGUAAAACGUAGGAGGCGAGCGUUAUCCGGAGUUACUGGGCGUAAAGCGCAUGUAGGCGGUUGGAUAAGUUGCGUGUGAAAGCUCCUGGCUAAACUAGGAGAGGACAGGCAAGACUGUUCGGCUAGAGGGUGGUAGAGGGGCACAGAAUUCGGGGUGUAGCGGUGAAAUGUGUAGAGAUCCCGAGGAAUACCAGUGGUGAAGACGGUGCCCUGGGCCAUACCUGACGCUGAGAUGCGAAAGCGUGGGGAGCGAACGGGAUUAGAUACCCCAGUAGUCC
rnacentral:rRNA from 1 species